rnacentral:rRNA from 1 species
GAAAGAUGAAAAGAACUUUGGAAAAAGAGUGAAAUAGUGCUUGAAACCGUUGGGAGGAAAGCGAAUGGAGCUUAUAGUGCAGAUCGAGAAGUCUCAAGCCGGCAUUGCGAUUGGUUCCGGCG